CUCGAUGAAGGACGUUGUAAACAAAUGUUUUAAAUGCUGAAUGUUAACUAGUGCAAACCAGGCUAAAGGACUUUAAGUUUGCAAAAAGGUAAACAUCAGAACGUUACUGUUUUCAUGCUAGUAUAAAUGUUUCGACUGUGUUAAUGUCUGUGUUGAUAUUAAACCCUAAUCUUCAAUGCUGAAAAUAGAACAACGCAUUUUGCAAUACAGAACGAAAAUAACAAACAAUGCUGAAAAUAGUUCAACGCAUUUUGCAAAACAGAACGAAAAUAACAAACAAAGAAAUAUUGAAUACGAUUGAAUAAAUUGUGGAAGAUAACAUUCAAAUUAUAUUGGCAUGCAUAUAUACCAUGUUCACAUGUUGGGUACAUAUUUAUAAAUAAUUAACCUGAUUUAUAAAUUACUAAUAUCGAAUUACUGCGGAACAUGUGACUUUGAAGAAAUGUUGAAAUUAACCUGACAGCAUAUGUUGCAUUUAUUUGUAUGAUUAUAGGACGAAAGCACUACAAAUUGAAUGCAAACCAUCAUUUACAAUGUGAAACGCUGGCGUUUGAUUUAAAAUAUAUACUAAUGAACCACCUUAAAGGAAAUACAUGUCAUAAUAUAAACAGGAUUUAGAAGAAAAAUUAUAGGAUGGAAAAUAUAUAUACAUUAUUGAAGGCGGAGUUUACAUAUAUUGUCGACUCAAUAACUACAUAUGGAAAUAAAGCAGUAAUUGAGUUGAUAUGACGUUCUAAAAUCUGUUUUAUUUACUUAGCCUUUAAACUUUUACAAACAGAACAAAUAUAUAUAUUAUGGUAAUUAUUUAUUUCAUAAUUAACCGCUUCUUGUGAAUGACACUGCACAGCGCAUCAGAGAAAAUCGACUACUUUGACAUUGGACAUGAACCUUACAAAAUGAAAGUAUUGAAGAUUAUUCAGUCCAUGUGCAAAGGCCAAGUCGCGCAUCGAAAAGUGAAAGCAUUCCACCCGAGAGAACAGCCGUAGACAAGCAGAGACCGCUUGAUGUUAAUUCAGUCCAAGUUCAAAGGUCAAGCCGUGCAUCGGAAAGUGAAAGCAUUUCACCCGAGAGAAUACAUCGAUCCGACCUGUCAAUCAAACUAAUCAUUAUUGACCAAUGAGAAAGCUGCAAAUUAUUCACCGAGUCCCGUCCGCCAUCUUUACCCACAAACACAGCAGCAAUAACUGUUUACAACCGGACAUUUUAUUGAAGUUUUAAGACUGAUUUGUGAAAACGGUUAAACGAUGCGGAUGGGGAAUAUGUUAUGCGGAUUAAGGUAUCCAGAGGGACUAAAUGGAGGCCGAUUUAAACGAUUUCCGACCUAUAAUCCGAUAUUGAGAAGUGCAAAUGUUGGAUUAAAGCCUGUGGACGGCCACACGAGAAACUGAAUGUCAACAGGAUAAACAAGCACGAAGAUGUCUGCUCGAAGCACUUUCAUGGAGGAAAUGGACCAUCUAAAGAGUAUCCUGACCCAUUAUCAGCUGAUGGCUGGAGAAUAACAUCUUCAAGAAAACUCCCCACAAAGCGGUCACUUGGAAAGGAAACUUAUGGCAGCAUUUAUACACAAAAUGCAAGUGUAUGCAUUUAAUACAAGAUAUCACAUGCCUAGAAAAGCUGGUCCAGGAUCCUGCAGACACUGUACCAGGAGUAGGAACACAGACCGAAUGUCCUUGGACGUCACCUUUGGAUAUGUUUGCAUUUACCGCUCAGAAUGCUUCCUUAAAAGAACAUUUGUCACAAAAAGAAGUCCAAGUUGAAGAAUAACAGUCUGCACUUUCAUCAAAGUGUUGUGAAAUUCAGAUUUUAAAGCAACUGGUGGGAAUUUAAACAAACUGUAAAUGUCCAUAUAGUUCUGCUCAAAGAAGCAAGAGUUAAAAUUUGUUUAAAUAUUAUACAGGAAUCAUAUGAUUUUAUUUCUGCCUCUUUGAUAUAAAUGAAUAACUGUUAGUUUAUUCAUGUUUGGAAUAAAGCAUUGUAAAGUAAAUUGUGUGUUUGUAGUUCAUUUAUUUAAUUAAAUUUAAAAUUUGUAAACUUGGUCUGUGUAUCUAUCUGGCAAAUGACAGGUUUCCUUUUCCGACUGUGCUACUAUGACUUGGUUCACUGGAACUGGCUUGAUCUUUGAUCCCUUUGGCACAUUCCAUUGUUGGGGAAUACUUGUGUAACUUUGUUGAUCAGGAACAUGGGUGAAGUUGUGCAACUUGAAUUCCUGAAGUGACUUGAUUAAGCCAACCACGUGUGAACAAUGACCGCUCAAUCUAUAAAAAAAAUGAAAACAGAGAUUGUUGACAAGAUAUCAAAACAAAAGCAUGAUAUCAUGCUGUGAAAUUGGCAUGUGUUUAUCCUACACUGACCCAUGAAGUAUCAUUUGACUUUCCAGAUGUUAAAUGUCUAAAACGAGGCAGUAACUAAAAAUAUGAAAACCAAUAAAUUGAAAUACAACAUACAGUAUCUUACUUCUUUCUCUACUCAACGACUUGAAAAUAUUUUUUUUUGCAUUCCGUAUUACGGCAUGAAAUGUAAAAGACAUGGCGAUCCAAAAUUGCUUAUAAUACAUAAUGUAAUUUAAGAAUAAAAUUACUAGUAUUAUAUCAUUUGUUAAAUACAAUUGGAAAUUCACAUACACUGUUUUUCAUAAGCAAUACCUAUAUCGUAUGGAAUCCCUCUCCACAUCGACACUUAACAUAUGAUGCUUGUCGUUUUUUUUUCUCAUUGAAGGCCAGCAUCUCGCGGUAACAUGGCAGAUAUUUCCUCUUCCAAAACUUUAAUGUCAUGAAUAUAACCUUGUAGAAAGUAAUUUAAUCCAUUUUCUUACACCUUUCCCGAUAAUUUGGCUUGAUCUGGUAAAUAUUUAACUGAUAUAUUGUCCGAAAUCUUCGCGAGAGAAUCGGAUUCUGAUGCUAUCGUAGCAGCGCGAGAGCCGCCAUUUUGAAUUUACGCUUGGGGCGCAUAAUAACAAUAUCUAAGGGGGCGGAGCUUAUCUUGGCAUCUCGGAUCGAUGUAUAGCCGAAGACGAGCAGAGACCGCUUGAAUUUAAUUCAGUCCAAGUUCAAAGGUCAAGGCGUGCAUCUGAAAGUGAAAGCAUUCCAACCGAGAGAACAGACGUCGACGAGCUUAUAAAAUAUGAUUUUCGAAUAGACCAAAAAUACAUUGAACACUUUGGGCAAUGCAUCGAAUGCGUGAAAGCAAUCCCAGUCUUUUCUUAUGACGAUAUAGAAAUCGCAGAUCAUAUCACAUAUAACGGAAGAAUUUACGAUCAUCAUGCAAUUGUUUCGGCAAAAUUUGGAAAUGAAAAGAUCAAAAUAAUAGAGGCUACAAAUAGCUUUUCCGGGGCAGUAUUUGGUCUUUUCCCAUUUGGUAGGAAAGCAUUGAUAAAAGAAUCUGAGAGGUCAUUGGAAUUUACUAAAGACCGGAUUCAUGUUGUGGUAUACAAAAAACGAGUCUUCGAAAACAUCAAAGUUGCCAGCAGGGCAAAGGCUAUUUGCGAAGCUAAAGGUACAACUAGUAAAUACGACUACCAUUUAUUGAAUAACAACUAUGAGCAUUUCGCAACGUUUUGCGUCACAGGAAAGAAAUUCAGCUUGCAAGUUAUCAAAGUGGAACUGGUUGCCAGGCUCUUCGUGCUGAAUGGAUUUGUUGGUUUGAGUGAUGAGAGGAAACGCAACUAAUUUCUAGAUGAGAGAAAACACAUUUGUAACAAAUGCUAUAAACUGAAUGAGCCCUUACUGAACGUGUCCACGAGACCUAUUACGUCAGCAGGUGACGUAGCACCUGGUGACAUCAUCAGAUACUACUACGGACUCCACGAUGGAGUUGUUCUGGAAACAGAACAUUCCAACAAAACCUCCAUGAAAUGUCGAAUCGCCCAUUAUGCGUUUUGUGGUUUCUUUUCGCAUAGGACAAUUAAAGACGAGGAGGUCACGGUGCCGUUUGAUGGCAGUCUAUGUGUUAUUGAAUACAAAACAACAGACUUUGAAGUGUACGAAACGGAAAAGGUAAUUGCAAGGGCAAGAUCAAGAGUAGGAGAACAACGUUUUGUGUUUUUCUCAAAUGAUACCAGCCAUUUGAGCGUUGGUGUACGUUGCCAAGAAUAAGACGUGGAUAUUCAGGACAAAGUGACAUCUGUGACCAGGCUGACGACAAUGAUCACGAUGACGUCAUUGACCAUGAAAGUCUGAAGAUAAAUUGAUGUUGUGGGGCAAGUAAUAUCGGAAUGUUCGUGUUUUACAUAUGCAUGAUCAAGGUCUUUCUUGCGAGACUCCGCCUACAAAAGUCACGAAAGGUUGACAGGUUCAUGCAAAAUGAACGGAAAUUGAAUCGUACAGAAGAUCAAGUGCGAAUGUCAAUAAGUUUAAAUUUACAAUUAUAUUUGCAGUCUUGCAUAAAACGACGGUGUAACCUAUAGUACAUGGCAGCUAGUGAUCACAAAAUACUUUGUUUGGGAACAAAAUCACAUUGAGACAUAUACAGCCUAUCAGAAUGAUAUUUAUUAAUUAGUUUUAUUCCAUAAUAAUUGUGUUCAUAUUAAUUCAAUCAUUGUUUUGUGUACGUGAUCCUUGUGUAUUUUUUGUAAAAUUUUGUCCUGUGCAAUAUUUAAAUGCAGUGAUCAUAUAAAGCAGUACACGUACAAUGGACCUUUACAGCAGUUUGCAGUUAGUGGUUCAAGAUUUAGAAACGUAUCAAAUAUAGAAUUAAUCAAUGGCGGAUUUGCCAUGAAAGUAGAUUUGAGGAAGCACUUGACUAAUGUGAGAGAUGUCAUCAACAUGUACAUACAUUCGUUUAUGAUAUGUAUUUCAACAACGUAGCAGCAACUUUUGUUUAAUUUGUUUCAAUGUUUAAUUUUGUAAGGUGUUAUUUUGCAAUACAAGUUUGUGUUUUAUUAGAACAAUAUGGUAUGAUCAUAUUUUUUAAAUAUUUUGUUUACAUCUUUGCAUUUAUAUUUCCGACUGUUAAAAAUCGCAACAUGUAUAGUUUAAUGCUGUAUUAGAUGAUUAGAGUGAAGCUUCAUCUUGUGAAGAUUUGAAGCCAACUAUUUCAUACGAAUAAGUUAUUCAAUAAUGUAAUACGAGUUUGUGUUUCAUAACAACAUUUUUGUAUGAUCGUAUUUCUUUAUCUAUAUGUUGACAAUUUUGCAUUUAUAUUCAUAAUUGAAAGAAAUCCUUGGUUGUAUUGUUUUACGCUGUAUUUGAUGAUCGGAGGGUAGGUUCGAUUUGUGUAGAACUGAUAAAGGCAUCUAAAAAUAAGUAGCUUAGAUUAGUCUGGCAUCUACAUAUUAAUAGCUAACAUUUUUCUGGGAUUUACAUAUUAAUAGCUAACAUUAGCCUGGCAUCUACAUAUAAGAUGCGAACAUUAGUCUGACAUCCACAUAUAAGUAGCUUACAAUAAAUAUGGCAUCUACAAUUAGUAGCUUACAUUAGUCUGGCAUCCACAUAUAGGAAGCGAACAUUAGUCUGGCAUCUACAUUUGAGUAGCUAACAUUAGACUGGCAUCUACAUAUGAGAAACUGAUGUUAGCAUAGUACCAAUAUAUGAGUAGCUAACCAUAGUCUGGCAUCCAUAUAUCAGUAGCUAGCAUUAAUCUGGCAUCUACAUAUGAGUAGCUAACAUUAGCAUGGUACAAACAUAUGAGUGACUAGCAUUAGUCUGGCAUCUACAAGUUAGUAUAUUGCAUUAGCCUGACAUCUGCAUAUCAAUAAUUAGAAUUAGGGUAGCAUCUACAAAACAGUAGCUAGGAUUAGUGUGGCAUCUACAAAUUAGUAGCUUGCAUUUGUCUGGCAUCUAAAUAUUAUCUAAAUAUAAUAUAAAAUCUAAAC